rnacentral:lncRNA from 1 species
UUUCUCCUGUGCCUCUGGCCGCCCUCCCGAUGGAUCUCUGUGGUGACAGGCAGGAAUGAUUUGCUUGGGGACCCAGAGAACUCCAAGCACCUUUCCUGCUGCUUCCUCUACCCCUGUAUUUCGCUUGGCUCUCUAAAUUGACUCAGCUCCUGUCAUUCUGGAGCUAAAAUUCACAAUGCGAGCCUCUGCACGCUGCUCUGUCCGUCUGAGUCUGAGGUGCAAUCUAGUCCUGCCUCCUAUCCGCCAUGAUGAUCUUCCAUUCAGGACAUUCCCAUUCACCUUUUGAUGCAUAUUGGAGUUGUUUCCAGCUUUUGG